UGCUGACUCUGAGGCCAGUGUCACUUCUUACAUCAUUUGUUGUUUAGCCAACAUGAAGAGCCCCUAAACUACAGCCACAUGUACAGUUGAAGUGGGAAGUUUACAUACACUUAGGUUGGAGUCAUUAAAACUAGUUUACAUACACUUAGGUUGGAGUCAUUAAAACUAGUUUACAUACACUUAGGUUGGAGUCAUUAAAACUAGUUUACAUACACUGAGGUUGGAGUCAUUAACACUAGUUUACAUACACUGAGGUUGGAGUCAUUAAAACUAGUUUACAUACACUUAGGUUGGAGUCAUUAAAACUAGUUUACAUACACUUAGGUUGGAGUCAUUAAAACUAGUUUACAUACACUUAGGUUGGAGUCAUUAAAACUAGUUUACAUACACUGAGGUUGGAGUCAUUAAAACUAGUUUACAUACACUUAGGUUGGAGUCAUUAAAACUAGUUUACAUACACUCAGGUUGGAGUCAUUAAAACUAG